rnacentral:rRNA from 1 species
AUUGAACGCUGGCGGCAGGCCUAACACAUGCAAGUCGAACGCGUGGCGGACGGGUGAGUAAUGUCUGGGAAACUGCCUGAUGGAGGGGGAUAACUACUGGAAACGGUAGCUAAUACCGCAUACCAUCAGAUGUGCCCAGAUGGGAUUAGCGUGUUGGUGGGGUAACGGCUCACCAAGGCGACGAUCCCUAGCUGGUCUGAGAGGAUGACCUGCCACACUGGGACUGGGCAGCUCGCCAGACGCCUACGUGAGGCAGGAGUGGGGAGUCUUGCUCAUGGGGCGCAAGCUUGAGGCAUCGAUGCCGCGUGUAUGAAGAAGGCCUUUGGGUUUUAAAGUACUUUCAUCCCGGAGGAGUUACCCGCAGAAGAAUCGCAGGCUAACUCCGUGCCAGCAGCCGCGGUAAUUC